rnacentral:rRNA from 1 species
UGCAUGUCUAAGUAUAAAUUCUUGUACGAUGAAACUGCAGACGGCUCAUUACAACAGUGAUAAACUGCUAGACUUUCGGGUUUUUAACCUUUUGGAUAACCGCAGUAAAUCGGGGCUAAUACAUAGAAGCGAUGGGUGACUGGCAACGGAAGCUCAGCGAUUAUUAGCAUUACUACCAAUACCUUCGGGUCUUGUGGUGAAACCGAAUAAUAUUGCAGAUCGAGGAUUUAUCUUCGACAAGUCUACUGUGUCACUGCCCUAUCAACUUUCGAUGGUACGGUAUUGGCCUACCAUGGUUGUAACGGGUAACGGGGAAUUAGGGUUCGAUUCCGGAGAGGGAGCCUGAGAAAUGGCUACCACUUCUACGGAAGGCAGCAGGCGCGCAAAUUACUCAAUCCCAAUACGGGGAAGUAGUGACAAUAAAUAUCAAUACCUAUCCUUUUUGGAGGGCAAUUGAAAUGAACACAAAUUAAAACUCUUAAUUAACACAAUUGGAGGGCAAGUCUGGUGCCAGCAGCCGCGGUAAUUCCAGCUCCAAUAGCAUAUACUAAAGUUGUUGCAGUUAAAAAGCUCGUAGUUGAAGUUAAAGUUUUAUUGGGCUUAAGUUUUUUACCACCUAGUGGCUAAAAUAACUCCAAUAAUUCUUUUUUUAAUAGCUCAGUUUCUAGGUCUUUGACUCUAGUUAUUUGGGCAUUUCACUGUGAGAAAAUUGUGGUGUUUAAAGCAGGCGUCUCGUCUGAUCUUUUGCAGCAUGGUAUGAUGGAACAUGACAUUUUACG